AAUGCUUUCACCCGUACAGCGACCGUGUAGCCACUAAAACAAUCCCUCCUCCUCUUCUGGGGAGACUCCCUUCCCGGAACUACUUUGCAUUACUUCGGGAAGGCCCAGAACGGUGUCCAUUAUAUAGACCAAUACUAUUCACCCACGUCUGGGGCCACCAUACUUGCAGUCAGCUUCAUGCUUUAGGCUUGUCUUCUAAUAUCUCUGUGUCGUCAUACCAGUGGUAUGUGUGGCAUGCUCUCAGGUUCUUCUCACAUGGGUGUAUGAAUGUUAUACGCUAUCGAGGUUUCUUUUGCAUCUGCAGCAGAGAAGAUAAAAAAUCACCACAGUUCCGUUCCUUUGUAUUGUAGAUCGUGUAAGUGGGUAAAUCAAAAAUUUAGGAUUGUUCCGUAAAACCUUUUCAGCUGAUUGCUCUCUCACCACACAGUGUUGCCAAACAGUACAUUUCGAAGUCAUUAACAAAAAAACUUACAAAAAUUAUAAUUUUUAUUGAAAUAACCUAAAAACAAUGGUGAAUAAUGUUAAUUAUAGAUAAAUGAACUAUUUGGAAGUGUAAAUAAACAAAAUUGCAUUUAUUAGUCACCUAAAAUGCUGAGCCCAUUGCCAAAACAUCAACAGUUACUUCACAGUCUCAAAGUGACAUUUUGGCGUGCAUUGCCAAGCAGUAGAAUAAUUAUACCAUUUUUUUUCGAGGACAAGUAAUUUCUGUGGGCAGUGUUUCCUAUCGGCGCAUCCUGAAAAAUUAUUUUCUGCCAAUAAUGACAGAACGUCUUUCCUUCAGUACACACACAUGGUUUUAGCAAGAUGGCGCCACGCCGCUCACGGGCAGAGAGACCGUGGCAAUACCGAGUAAUUUCUUCCCUAACAAACUAAUAGGCCGUGUCGAUGACAUAUCCUGGCCACCCAGGUCGUUCAAUUUUACCACCAUGGAUUUUUCCUGUGGGGGUACCUCUAAAGCAAAGUCUUUAGAGCAAUUGCAGCGAACAUCUCAACACGAUCAUCAUUUCUCCAGCGAGUGUCACGGAGUACGGAAGCUAGAUUCCAAGACAGUAUCCGACGCAACGAGCAACAUUUAGAAGAAAUAAUUUUUAUAAUACUAGAAGCUUGAUUGAUGAAAGGGCCGACUUUAUGGGCAAGGUUUUCUCUGCGAUAUGUGAACUGUCCAUUUGUUUCGGACGUAGACCAAUUUGAAGGGUUAUACCGCCUGACUCCGGAUGAUAUGCGCACAAUUUUAAACAGAAUUAGGUACCGUAUUGAGCAGAAAUAUAUUUCAGCAUUAUUGGUUGAAAUCCACGUAAGGAAGUACUAUAGUGCUAUACAAUAGUAAUUAAAAAUAUACGCAUUAAUACAGGUGCUCGGGGCGCUUCGUUUUUAUGCAACAUUCUGUUAUCGAAGACCAGUGGGAGAGCAACGACAGCUUGAAAUGAGCCAAUCUUCCAUAAGCCGUUCAAUACACAAAGUAACGGACGCUAUAAACGAUACUGUGUUGAGCGCAGGCUGCUCGCAAUUUAAUUUCAUCUGCGCGGCAACUUUUAAUGGUGUUAUCAGUGCAAUUGAUUGCACACAUUGAAAUUCAAUAUCAUUCAAUAGACGUACAAAUGGUGUGACCCAAAUCUUAAAUUUUUAAAUGUUUAUGCGAGAUUUCCCGGUGAACGCCAUAAUGCGUAUAUUUGGAACUCCGUGUUAACUCCGCCGUGAAAUGAGCAUACGAUCGAAGAGAUCGGAGAAUAAUGGAGGGGUACAUCCGAGAGAAUUGGAGGUGUAAAUAUAUCUGCCACCCAAUACAAUAAGAAUAGCUUUCGUCGAUUUUGAUUUUCCUGUAAGGGCAGCAACCUCAUCAAGGAGUUUUGUACAGUCUACUGAUAUGGUUUGCAUUUACGCUACGUAUCACUUCUUCAAUAGUGUCAAUGUAAAAUAAUUAGCCAACCAUUUUAUAAAUAGAUGGUUUAAUUUACUGAAUCGAUCAUGAAUAAACUUAAGCCCAAUGGCCUGCGAAAAUUGGCGCGGUACGGUACCGGGCGGUAUAAUCCCAUGCGUAAAGUGGCAAGGAUAUAUGCAAAGUCAUUGAAGAGGUGCAGUGCGAUGUAACACGGUACAGACUUUGUUUCCAUGCGAAGAGUGACGAGAUCAAAUUGCCAGCAAUCUGCACCAAUUUGAAACGCAUUCUUCUUACACAAUUUGUAUUUAUUAACCCGAUUUUCGCGAUGGACACUUUAAGUUCUGAGGAGGAAUUAUUGCUGCUAGCAGCACUUCUCGCUGAAGAAAUCGGAAGACAAAAAAAUAUAAGUUCACGAAAUAAAAUUGAGGAGAAAAGAAGAUGGUGAAUUUUCCACUCUGAUAAUCCAGCUCCGUAAUAGGACUAUAAAAGUGAAAAAGACGUUGACUUAUUAUUGGAAUUGUAUUUUAUUUAAUUUUUAAGCUAACGCGCAAAUCGCGGUCGCUGCACAACGUUAUUCAAUGUUCACGUUCGACAUUCGACACACAAUUAAUUGUCAUAACUAUUGCUAGAACGCCUACUCUGGAGUGUGCAAUUAACGGCGCUUUUAACAAUUAAUACGUAUUUAUUAUUGUAAAGACAGAAUUGCCAGUUGUAAAAGCAGGGUUAAUUUGUGACAAACAAACCCAAAAAAAUUGUACAUUUAUAACAACAAAUGUAUUCAUUCCUGCAUUUGAAACUCACGUUUUUAUAAAGAAAAAGAUAAA